UACGAAGGGGGGCUAGCGUUGCUCGGAAUCACUGGGCGUAAAGCGCACGUAGGCGGAUCUUUAAGUCAGGGGUGAAAUCCUGGAGCUCAACUCCAGAACUGCCUUUGAUACUGGGGAUCUCGAGUCCGGAAGAGGUGAGUGGAACUCCGAGUGUAGAGGUGAAAUUCGUAGAUAUUCGGAAGAACACCAGUGGCGAAGGCGGCUCACUGGUCCGGUACUGACGCUGAGGUGCGAAAGCGUGGGGAGCAAACGGGG
rnacentral:rRNA from 1 species